rnacentral:rRNA from 1 species
GACGUAACGCUGGCGGCGCGCCUAACACAUGCAAGUCGAACGAGCGAGAGAGAGCUUGCUUUCUCGAGCGAGUGGCGAACGGGUGAGUAACGCGUGAGGAACCUGCCUCAAAGAGGGGGACAACAGUUGGAAACGACUGCUAAUACCGCAUAAUGUGUUUUGGGGGCAUCCCUGAAACACCAAAGAUUUAUCGCUGAAAGAUGGGCUCGCGUCUGAUUAGCUAGUUGGUGGGGUAACGGCCUACCAAGGCGACGAUCAGUAGCCGGACUGAGAGGUUGAACGGCCACAUUGGGACUGAGACACGGCCCAG